UUCUUUAUUCUUUCGGCAAUUCUUCUCGAUAGAACAUCUUCCGUGGCCAUUUAAUAUUUUAGGGUCGAGAUACUUUGCUUCACUUUCGGGUUCAAUCUUCUUGAGUAUGAUAACGUACGUCUCCGGCUACAUCUUCACGUACAUCUCUCAAUAGAGUUGCAUUUCUUUUUUUUUUUUUGUCAACAUUGGGCCACAAUUGGCCGGCCCAUUAGCCAAAUCCCUACAAAUAUGUAGGGAGCGGGACUCGAUCCCUGGUGUGAUGGUGUCUGUCCAACAGUGGACUUAUCAAUUGCCACUAGACUAAGGACACUUCACUAGAGUUGCAUUUCUAUCGAUAAUGUUUUGAUAUAUCAUCC
rnacentral:lncRNA from 1 species